rnacentral:tRNA from 1 species
UCAUUAAGAAGCUAUUGCAGCGUUAACCUUUUAAGUUAAAGAUCGAGAGUAUCAACCCUCUCCUUGAUGAU